UACAGGGGGUGCAAACGUUGCUCGGAAUUAUUGGGCGUAAAGCGCGCGUAGGCGGCCACUUAAGUCGGAUGUGAAAGCCCCUGGCUCAACUGGGGAAGUGCACCCGAAACUGAAUGGCUUGAAUGCAAAAGAGGGUCGCGGAAUUCCCGGUGUAGAGGUGAAAUUCGUAGAUAUCGGGAGGAACACCGGUGGCGAAGGCGGCGAUCUGGACGAUGACUGACGCUGAGACGCGAAAGCGUGGGGAGCAAACAGG
rnacentral:rRNA from 1 species